rnacentral:rRNA from 1 species
AUUGAACGCUGGCGGCAUGCUUUACAUAUGCAAGUCGAACGGUAACAGGUUAAGCUGACGAGUGGCGAACGGGUGAGUAAUGCAUCGGAACGUGCCCGGUCGUGGGGGAUAACGCAGCGAAAGCUGCGCUAAUACCGCAUACGAUCUAAGGAUGAAAGCGGGGGACCGUAAGGCCUCGCGCGAUCGGAGCGGCCGAUGUCAGAUUAGGUAGUUGGUGGGGUAAAGGCUCACCAAGCCAACGAUCUGUAGCUGGUCUGAGAGGACGACCAGCCACACUGGGACUGAGACACGGCCCAGACUCCUACGGGAGGCAGCAGUGGGGAAUUUUGGACAAUGGGCGAAAGCCUGAUCCAGCAAUGCCGCGUGCAGGAAGAAGGCCUUCGGGUUGUAAACUGCUUUUGUACGGAGCGAAAAGGUCUCCUCUAAUACAGGGGGCUCAUGACGGUACCGUAAGAAUAAGCACCGGCUAACUACGUGCCAGCAGCCGCGGUAA